rnacentral:lncRNA from 1 species
UUUUAGAGUAUAUCAAUUAAAAAGAAAAAAAAAAGUGAAAAAAAGGGGAUAAUCAAGUGCUGAACUUGAAAGAGAUGAAACUUGAGAGGUCAAACAAUGCAAUGCAAUAAUUCAGAAAUUGUGGAAGAGUGAAGAGAAUGAAACAAGGCUAUUAGGAGUAGGACAAAACAAAAACUAAUGGUCUAGAAAAGCAGAAGAAGUUUUUAAUUUUUCUCAAAAGGCAACUAUCACUUUUGUCACAAUACUUCAAUUAUUACAGAUUUUUC